rnacentral:rRNA from 1 species
CGAUGAAGGGGGAGCUUGCUCCUCCGGAUUAGUGGCGAACGGGUGAGUAAUACGUGAGCAAUGUGCCCUUGACUCUGGGAUAAGCGCUGGAAACGGCGUCUAAUACCGGAUACGACCAUCGGAGGCAUCUCCUGGUGGUGGAAAGAACUUCGGUCAAGGAUCAGCUCACGGCCUAUCAGCUUGUUGGUGAGGUAACGGCUCACCAAGGCGACGACGGGUAGCCGGCCUGAGAGGGUGACCGGCCACACUGGGACUGAGACACGGCCCAGACUCCUACGGGAGGCAGCAGUGGGGAAUAUUGCACAAUGGGCGCAAGCCUGAUGCAGCAACGCCGCGUGAGGGACGAAGGCCUUCGGGUUGUAAACCUCUUUUAGCAGGGAAGAAGCGAGAGUGACGGUACCUGCAGAAAAAGCACCGGCUAACUACGUGCCAGCAGCCGCGGUAAUACGUAGGGUGCAAGCGUUGUCCGGAAUUAUUGGGCGUAAAGAGCUCGUAGGCGGUCUGUCGCGUCUGCUGUGAAAACCCGAGGCUCAACCUCGGGCUUGCAGUGGGUACGGGCAGACUAGAGUGCGGUAGGGGAGAUUGGAAUUCCUGGUGUAGCGGUGGAAUGCGCAGAUAUCAGGAGGAACACCGAUGGCGAAGGCAGAUCUCUGGGCCGUAACUGACGCUGAGGAGCGAAAGCAUGGGGAGCAAACAGGCUUAGAUACCCUGGUAGUCCAUGCCGUAAACGUUGGGAACUAGAUGUGGGGACCAUUCCACGGUCUCCGUGUCGUAGCUAACGCAUUAAGUUCCCCGCCUGGGGAGUACGGCCGCAAGGCUAAAACUCAAA